rnacentral:lncRNA from 1 species
CCGCGACGUCUGAUGUUAGGGACUAGAACUGAGAUCUCUGCUGUGGGCCACCUUCUUCUCUGCUGAUCUCUUCCUGGGACUUCCAGACACAGAGACCUCAGUAGGAGCUGCUGCUUCCAAGAAGGGAAAGAAGAGCCAGCAUUGCAUGGCAUACCUGGGGUACAGAUGAGUGUAAGGAAUGAAAAUUUAAUAAGGUGUUUUCCAGAGGUUACAUGACAUGUAAUGCCACAACAGAUUGACUACAGAAGCAGAGACAGGAAAGAAGACAGAGACAUAGGGAAGAUGGCCAUGGGAAGACAGAAGCAGAGAUUGGGGUGAUGUGUCCACAAGCCAAGGAACACCAAGAAUUGCCAGUAGCCACCAGAAGCUGAAAGAGACAAAGGAAGAGUCUUCCUUGGAGUCGUCAGGAGGAGUGUGGCCCUGCUGAUAUGUUGACUUCAGACUUCUAGCCUCCAGGACUGUGAAAGAAUAAAUUUCUGUGGUUGUAAGCCACUAAGUUUGGAUAACUUUUAAUGACAGCCCUGGGAAACUAACACAGGCCCAAUUCUCCCCUCUUUUGUCCUGUGACUCUUACUCUUCAACCUUCUCACUCUUCCCAGAGGGUACCUGAAUACUGUAAUACUGUACCAGACCGAUGGCCACCUGAUAUGGGCUCUGAGCAAGGUAAGAAUUCCAACCCAUGUAGUAAAUAUCGGUAUCUAAAUAUAUAUUAAGAGAAGUCUUCAUAUUGUCCUCACACCGUAAGUGAGUGAUCUUGUACAACAUCUGGUGUGCAAUCACUCCACUUUGAAAAUCACUAGGGAGACACUGCUAAAAUUUCAAGAUGUAUCUGUUUGAGCCUUUCCUCAAAAGUUCUAUCAGAUAAUAUCCUAAGGCCACACAGCAGCAAGUUGUUGUUCUUUAAAGAGCUGAGAAAAAUAGGAUGUGGGGAAAAACAUGGGACCAAAACAUGGUGUUUGCAGAAUGUGGAGCAGGGGACAUGGACCCUUAAGUUAAAAUCAUGGCCCAGGAUAUGGCCUAGCCUAUGUAUACAAAUCACUAACAUAGCUCUUCAGCAGUACACAAUCUAAUCUUAAUAAAUUUGAAAAAAAUGUUUCUACCUCUUUUCAGAUAGAAUUAUGUCAUUACUGCAUUUUAUUUUAUUUUAAUUUUUUUUUAGAGACAGGGUCUCACUCUGUUUCCUGGGCCAGAGUGCCAUGGUGUCAUCAUAGCUUAGUCUCAAACUCCUGGCCUCAAGCAGUCCUCCCACCUCAGCCUCACAAAUAGUUGAGAUUACAGGCAUAAGUCAC